CCCACCCCACUGACAAAUUCUUUAAAAAUGUCCUGCUUAGAAACACUAGUCACUAGACAUGCAAUUAUUGUUUACCUACGUCUGCUGAUCUGUAGAAUUCAGUAUAGAACACUAUACAUUUAUCGAGUAUAUCUGUAGUAUUACAUGUUAAUUGUUUCAGUGUGGGUAUUAAAUUGGGAAAUUCGAAAUAUAUAAUAGCUUCGGGUUUCAGGAACUUUACGAUACUUCACGUAUUUAUAGGACACUGUCUUUAAAAUAUGCGGAUGGUAUUACGAGAAGUACAGUUUUGACUAGUUUUGAAUGUAUAAAUUUAUGCUAUUUUACUCACAUGUUGCUCGUACUGCGUAACAUUUUCUCUUUGUCCCACAGUCGCCAGAAGUCAACAGCACGUUCCCCUCUUUGUGUACGUACACGAACGACUAGCUUCUAUUUUCUUCCUAUUUUCGUGCUCGAUAAUAAAUCUCUCCUGCAUUUUUCUUUCCCUCCCAGAUCUUUUUUCUCUUUCAAACAUCCCUGUAUAUCUCUCUCGCUCUUUCUUGUUUAAUUAUUUUUCGUCUUUUACGACGAAUUCCUCGAUCGUGUUCGGCCUGGAAACCGACCUAGCUUCGAAAGUAUAUGCUCGCUCUGUCUCGCUGGUUGCACUGAGAUUUCUCCCAGAUCGUGACGUAUCCCACCAUUAGCAAGUGCGCCACUCGCUGUGUGGAAUGUCGUGUUAAAAUGCGCCAUUUCAACUGACUUUACGUAAGCUCAUACGACCAGACAAAACAGAGAAAAAGCAUAUUAUUUCUUGAGAUUUGCCGUCCUUGCUUCCUGAUCGAUGAUCAAGUGCAAAUUCCCGCGCGCGCGCUUUGUUUACAUAUGCUGCACAAAUAUUACCUUCCCCUCCCUCCCUCAGGCAGGUCAAACAAUUGUCUGUUCGCUUGCUGUGUAUUUUGCUGUACUGGAAUGGAAAAUUUUGACCAAAUAUAACUGUUAUUUCUAUCUGCAGUUGUGCAAGUAACGUCAAUUUUACGGAUGAUGGUAUAUUAGUAUUCUACUGAGCGAAUUUUUGGCCAGAUGUUGCUCGUCGAAACCAGUUUAGACCCCGUGAAAGUAUACGUGUAAUUUGAGUUAUUUGACAAACAGGAUGGCAUUCCCGUUGUGCGUAUAUGUAUACUCGUCCAAUCGGAAGAUAUUUCGUUAAUUCCCACUCAAUUUUGGAUUUUUAUGAUGAGGUUUAACCGUCACUAUCGUUCAAGGUUCACAAACAGGGUUUUCGUCCAUCCAAAGUACAUUUGAGUUACUGAGCUAAACUUCAACAAGUCUCGUAUGGUAAUAUAAAUAUGGCUGUGUCGUUAUCUGACCAAUAUGUCCUGUUUAUAUACUACAAAACGUCGGCCAGGAGAACAGGCUCUUACGAGAACAGUUAAUAUUAAAGACGACUAUAAACGAGACGAAGUUGUCCAUCGAAGAUACUGUACGAAGGUUGAUAAAAUGGACAAUUUGUCAAACAGAACUGCGAGACACGUUGCCAAAGCUAUGCAGGGUAAGCAUUUGUACUUAUAUCUGAUAAAUUGUGUAUACAUGUCAUUUCAAUGGUAUAGAACGCUCUGAUUUAAUGAAAGUUUAGGCUCCUAAAAUAAUUGCGCCAAAUAUUCAAAGGCUAAUUCAAGAUUGCUGAACUCAGUCAUAGAUGCUGUUUAAUAAUUUAUUACAUGCAAAUCACUGCUAAAAAUACUACAGUAUAUACCCCAUUUACUGUAUAUAUAUUAUAGAACCCUUGUCUUUGCCCUUGGCAGGCAAAACGUGCAAGUUAUGUUUACGCAAUAUAUUUCUGAUCUGCACUGUUGUGUUAUGCCUGACUCAGGGAGGACAGGCAUACCUACCUAGGGGAAUUUGACAGUUUCAAUUUUGCUACUGUAUGUAUGACAAUAAGCUCCACUGCAGAGCACCACUUUUUAAAUUAACCAAUCUUUGUCAAAUUUUCCCCUAUUAAGAAAUUUCAAGUUGCGAGAACUCAAGUCAAUUCCUGUGUAUGCCAUCCUUCCCCAGGCGGACAAAACAUUGCUUCGUGCAUUAUUCCAAAGUGCAUAUCACAAUCACAAAACUCUUCACAGCCUAGGUUAACAAGGCAAGGAUUAAGUGUCUAUUGUACUAUAGUAUACCUAGUGCUGUAUUUCAUAUAUGGAGGCAGACCAGCCCAGGUAUCCAAGCAAGUAACAAGGCACCCAGACUGGCCACAGCCUACUACAGUUGAGGUAGACCAUUACGCUUGGGCAGGUCAGUUCAGUUCUCAUGUUAUCGCAAAAUUAAAUUGGACAAUUGACAAGAAAUAAUACCAAAUGUGGUGUCUCUCCAAAACCAGACCAGCUCGGGUACCCUGGCUUCUCUUUCUUGCUUGCGAAAUGUGAAUUUACUUUUUGUGUUAAAUUUCUUGAGGCACUAUUAAAGCUGUGUACACUGUAAAAUAGCAUAGUAAGUGCACCAGGAGGGAUUGUGCCUUUAACAUAUAUCUCAUUUUUUAUAGGAUUAUGUUCGUCGUAAACUGAAAGCAUUGAAUGCUUAUGAGAGUAAUCUAGCAUACGUUUGAUGAAAGGUAACUUUGUGUACUAACAUUAUAUUUAUGAAACACCACAAUGACCACAUUCAUACAAGUUAACUUGUUGCUUGUGAUGAAGAAUGGUCCUUAAAAUGAAAUGAUUUUUUCUGUGUUGGUGUUAUGUACUCAGGUGAAUAUGAUGUUUGUGCAAUGAUACUCUGAGUGUAUAUCCACACUGGGCAAGCUUGAAAAAUAUGCCUGACCACGGUGGGAAUCGAACCUACGACCUUUGGAAUGCUAGCCCAUUGGCUCUGCCAACUGAGCUACGCGGUCUGGUCGGUUCGAGUAUGCGAUAUUUCGGAACAGAAUCUAGUUCCUUCGAUAUCAAUGUAAUCUAGUAUUAAUGAUAUUUUCUGUGUUGGUGCAAGCCAACAAGUACAACCGCGUAGCUCAGUUGGCAGAGCAUUGGACUAGCAUUCCAAAGGUCCUAGGUUCGAUUCCCACUGUGGUCAGGCAUAUUUUUCAAGCUUGCCCGGUGUGGAUAUACACUCAGAGUAACAUCACAAGCUUCUUAUUCACCUGAGUACAUUGCACCAACACAGAAAAUAUCAAGUUAACUUGUAUUUGCAGGCCAGCUAGGCCCGUAGCUAGACUGAUCAUUGGGGGUGUAUAUUCAUAUAUUCGUGUUCUGCCUGAGGGAUUUCUUUUGAAAGUAAUUGUUAACGUUGUUACACUACAUGAACAUGAAUAUAUGAAUAUACACCCACCGCCACCCACCCCCCACCCCUCCAAUUAUCGGUUCUAGCUACGCCGCUGUUGCAGGCGUACACUUAUGAAACAUGAGUCAUCUUAUACAGCUAUACUAAAUAUUCUGUUUUAAUUUUAGUGUUGACUCUCAACACAACAUCAUGCUGUGUUCCAAGGUUUCCAAGGAACUGGCUCAUGAGUAUGGAGGGCCACAACUGUUUUAAUAAAAGGUAUGGUGUACACAGUAUUUAUGGUAUUUGUAAUUGUCUUGCCCAAGGCCAAAAAAAAUAUGUGGGUUUCCGGUUUCUUCUUAUAAAAACUUAGGUAGGGUAGGUCGGUUUUAAUUUUUUUUUAACUUUUUUUUAAAUUUUCCAAACAAAUGAACGCCAUUUUGUUUAGUCAGUGCUUUCACAUCCAAAUUAGAUAAAUUUCCCUAAUAUUGCCUCAAAUUUCAAUUUUCCACGAACUUUUUCCUCUAAGUGGAAACACUUACAAGCAUGAUCCAAUAAAAAAGUUUAGGGUCGGGAUUUCAACGUCCAAAAGGUAGGUAGGGUCGGGAAACCGGAAACCCGCAUAUUUUUUUUGGCCCAAUAGAUAUAUUUUAAAACCUUAUACCGGUAACUCCUGUGGUAUCUGGAUUCUGGUAAUCACUUUACCAUACUUUACUCUGUCAAUUUUUCAAUAUUAAUUACCAGGCGAUAUAUGUUGGGGGGUCACAAAACUCCCAACACAGCAACGUCUAUAGAGUGGUAUCACUUUAAUUUUGCUCACACCAGAGAAUCGUCCUAUAUAUGACUAAAGCUAGACAAUUGUACUGUACUUGUACAUAGCACAUGUCUCAAAAUUUGAUUUAAUUAAAGACUUUUGAGCAUAGUAUAGAAAGAGUAUAAUAUGCAGCUGCUGUAAUUCUUAUGAUGUUGUCACAAGCAAUGCUGUAUUGCAGUAGUCAAAUGUCACAUGCCAGCAAUAUUAUCUGCAUUUGCUUGCAUUUUGUCAAAAAUAUUUGCGUUUUGGAUUGUAGAAUUGACUAUUGCAUGUGACAACCUUUGCAUGUGCACUGUAUUUAAAGAAUGGUCCUUAAAAUGAAAUGAUUUUUUCGUGUUGGUGUUAUGUACUCAGAUGAAUAUGAUGUUUGUGCAAUGAUACUCUGAGUGUAUUUAUAACCAUACCGGAGAAGUUUGAAAAAUAGACCUGGCCAGGGUGGGAAUCAAAGCUACGACCCUGGAAUGCCCAAUGCUUUGCCAACUGAGCUAUCAUGAUUACUAGAUUGCAUUGAUAUCGAAAGAACUAGACUCAGUUCUGAAAUAUCACAUACUCAAACCAACUUGACUGCGUAGCUCAGUUGGCAGAGCAUUGGGCUAGUAUUCCAAGGGUCAUCUAGGUUCGAUUCCAACCGAGGCCGGGCAUAUUUUUCAAGCUUACCCGGUGUGGAUAUACACUCAGAGUGACAUCACAAGCAUCAUAUUCACCUGAAUACAUUACACCAACACAGAAAAAAUCAUGAUUAUUAGAUUGCAUUGUUAUCGAAGUAACUAGGCUCAUUUCCGAAAAUCACAUAGUAUUACUCGAACCGACCUGACUUCGUAGCUCAGUUGGCAGAGCAUUGGGCUAGUAUUCCAAGGGUCAUAGGUUCGAUUCCCACCGUAGCCAGGCAUAUUUUUGUCAAGCUUGCUUGGUGUGGAUAUACACUCAGAGUAACAUCACAAACAUCAUGGUCUUUAAUUUAAAAUGUUUACGCGGUUUUUACAUAUGAUUUGGUACAAGUUCUCGUGAACAUCCAGAACAAAUUAUUUUGCGUGUUUAAAUUUUCCACCAACAUUAACACACAGCAAGGGAUUAAAGACUUUGAAGAUCUGUUAACAGCUUUCGCAUUAAUUUACACAGUAUAACCAAUUUUUUAAGAUUGAAUUUUUAUUAUUUUAUAAAGGACGAGGUUUGAACUUAUAACACUGCAUUUAAUUUUGAUAGCCAUUAAUUUAGCUUUGUAUUUCAAGGGUGUUGCUCAAUCUAAAACAUCCGUCUUUGGGUGUUUGUGACAUUUGUGACACUCUAUUUGAAAGUUACAUUUUGCUUUGUCCCCCCGAGCAAUGUAUAAAUUUAAAUACAUGCAGUAAAUGCCAUUUUUAUGCUCAUUGCUUGUAAUGCCUCGAUAACCUCGUGGAUGAAUCUGUAAGGCUUCCAAAGUCGGAUUUCUUGCUGAGCAAAGUUGUGGCAUGCAUAAGCAGUCUACCUAACACCCCCCCCCCCAAAUUACUUACUGUAUGUCGCCUGCGACGAAAAGUAUGUAAAAUGAUUAUGAAGAAGAAUUUAAAGAACUUUCAGAGUCUGAACAACGCGCAUACGGUGGAAGGAAAAGUCAUCCAGGCAAUGUCAUCCAAUCAUCAAAUCAACAUUUGAUACAAAAUUGUACUGUGUGAACUCAAUAGUCAACAUUUGUACUAUAAGUUUUCCAAGAACUUGUAGUAGUGUCAAGCUUAUUUGUUAUUAUUUUGUAUCUUUCUUUAGAGACUUGCACGCAGGCUGAAGCACGUGGGAAAGGCAAAUUGGGGUGCCCAGAAAACUGCAAGAGUGUUCGAUGUUAUGAGGGCAGGCUACUGUACAUGUCAUCAGAAGAAAGCGAGGUCGACGAAACAACAAAAAGGAUCAUGCGUUACAACGUUCGUAGGCUACCCUGGGAGAGUCCAUCUCUAUACGAAGGGCAAAGAAAAAGUUAUACAGGCUCCACACCUUGUCUUUGUCAGAACUGGUACGGAGCAGAAUUGUUCCUCGCGAGGAUGGACAGCCCUCCAUUCGACCUAAGCCAAACGACUUCCCGGAGUGGGCAGCUAAGAACGAGGAUGAUAAUGUUGUUGAUGAGAGUGCCCAGUCAUUAUCCCUAGUGGCUCUUCGCUGAAUGACUCUGUUAAUGACAUUUUAAAUGAUCAUGACUCUGAUUGCUAUAGUUUUUCAGUAUAGUAAAGACCCACGAUAUAUCACCCAAAGUUUUCCAUGUUCUAAUGUAUUAAGUUAAGAGUGCUUUAUAUAUUUGUUGUGAACCUGCAUGGCUUCUUAAACAGGUUCAUACAAAAUUCUAAAUAGAAAUGUUAGACUGAAAGGUUUUUAUUCGUGGGUUUUCAUUCUGCACGUGAUAAUUUGAUAAUCAAAUUUAUGAGUUUGCGUAAUUUACACUGUUUAUACGAUAUGCAUUUAUUCUGCAUGGCAG